ensembl:lncRNA LOC120100750 uncharacterized LOC120100750
CAGCACUCUUAGAGGUGGAGUUGAAAGUAGUCGUUAUGGCAGGCAGUUCUUCUACAGGUGUGUUCCAGGGAUCGAACUCAGUUGUGAAGUCUCUGCAGGUUUAGAAGAUAAGUAACCAGAUAUUUGGAUGAAGACUGAAGGUAUGCUCCUAAAUGCCUAUGCUGAAAGUGAAGCCAUGAUGUGUUCAUAUAUGGAGAAGUCAUGAUGCGAGCAUACAUGGAGAAGCCAUGAUGUGAGCAUAUGUGGAGAAGCCAUGAUGUGAAGACCCAAACAACCGCUAUCUACCAUCACAUUUCUUCAGUGUGGUAAGUUGCCAGGGCCUGCAAGGAUUAUUUUAAAACUGUUUGCUGCCCGCCACUGUGCUACCAAAAAUAAACUGGUCUGAGAGAACUAUGUGAGAGGACAUUCCUG